rnacentral:lncRNA from 1 species
UCGUAUAAAGCCAGUAAAUGAGAGAGAAAUACUGACUUUGGUGGUUUCCGUGUGAAGAGUGAAGCUGCCAACUUCCCUCGUUGCUGCAUGCUGAAAGCAGUAGCUUCACUUGGCCUACCAUGAGAGGUCCCCAGGCAAGAGGACGAGGAUACUCUGCCGGAUCGCAGCCAUAUAUGCUCAAUCUUUGCUCAAAGUAUCGGUCCCAGUCUUCCUUCGACAAGUCUACAGCCUCCAUCUUGUAACACUCGACAACUCCGCGUUCAAUCUCUCUCAGCUCCUCCAGUUCGCUGCUAGGAUGCGAUUCGACUUGAGAUAUGCGGUUUCUGAUGAAGGCCAGCGCAGUCGCACAGGC